rnacentral:rRNA from 1 species
AGUUUGAUCCUGGCUCAGGACGAACGCUGGCGGCGUGCUUAACACAUGCAAGUCGAACGGAAAGGCCCUUCGGGGUACUCGAGUGGCGAACGGGUGAGUAACACGUGGGUGAUCUGCCCUGCACUCUGGGAUAAGCCUGGGAAACUGGGUCUAAUACCGGAUAGGACCACACACUUCAUGGUGAGUGGUGCAAAGCUUUUGCGGUGUGGGAUGAGCCCGCGGCCUAUCAGCUUGUUGGUGGGGUAAUGGCCCACCAAGGCGACGACGGGUAGCCGGCCUGAGAGGGUGACCGGCCACACUGGGACUGAGAUACGGCCCAGACUCCUACGGGAGGCAGCAGUGGGGAAUAUUGCACAAUGGGCGCAAGCCUGAUGCAGCGACGCCGCGUGAGGGAUGACGGCCUUCGGGUUGUAAACCUCUUUCAGUAGGGACGAAGCGAAAGUGACGGUACCUACAGAAGAAGGACCGGCCAACUACGUGCCAGCAGCCGCGGUAAUACGUAGGGUCCGAGCGUUGUCCGGAAUUACUGGGCGUAAAGAGCUCGUAGGUGGUUUGUCGCGUUGUUCGUGAAAACUCACAGCUUAACUGUGGGCGUGCGGGCGAUACGGGCAGACUAGAGUACUGCAGGGGAGACUGGGAUUCCUGGUGUAGCGGUGGAAUGCGCAGAUAUCAGGAGGAACACCGGUGGCGAAGGCGGGUCUCUGGGCAGUAACUGACGCUGAGGAGCGAAAGCGUGGGUAGCGAACAGGAUUAGAUACCCUGGUAGUCC